rnacentral:rRNA from 1 species
GUGGGGAAUCUUAGACAAUGGGCGCAAGCCUGAUCUAGCCAUGCCGCGUGAGCGAUGAAGGCCUUAGGGUUGUAAAGCUCUUUCAGGGGGGAAGAUAAUGACGGUACCCCCAGAAGAAGCCCCGGCUAACUCCGUGCCAGCAGCCGCGGUAAUACGGAGGGGGCUAGCGUUGUUCGGAAUUACUGGGCGUACAGCGCACGUAGGCGGACCAGAAAGUCAGGGGUGAAAUCCCGGGGCUCAACCCCGGAACUGCCUUUGAAACUCCUGGUCUUGAGGUCGAGAGAGGUGAGUGGAAUUCCGAGGGUAGAGGUGAAAUUCGUAGAUAUUCGGAGGAACACCAGUGGCGAAGGCGGCUCACUGGCUCGAUACUGACGCUGAGGUGCGAAAGCGUGGGGAGCAAACAGGAUUAGAAACCCCAGUAGUCC